rnacentral:rRNA from 1 species
GGGCCCGCACAAGCGGUGGAGUAUGUGGUUUAAUUCGACGCAACGCGCAGAACCUUACCCGGCCUUGACAUCCUUGGAAUCCUUCCGAAAAGAAGGAGUGUCCCCUCACGGGGAAGCCAAGUGACAGGUGCUGCAUGGCUGUCGUCAGCUCGUGUCGUGAGAUGUUCGGUUAAGUCCGGCAACGAGCGCAACCCCUGUCGUUAGUUGCCAUCAAUUCGGUUGGGCACUCUAGCGAGACUCCCGGUGUUAAGCCGGCGGAAGAUGGGGAUGACGUCAAGUCCUCAUGGCCCUUAUGGUCGGGGCUACACACGGUACUACAAUGGUAGAUACAGAGGGCAGCUACCCCCGCGAGGGAUGCGAAUCUCGAAAGUCUAUCUC